GAUGGGACUAAGACAUGCUAGUCGUGUGUCUCCAAGCCAUGGUGGAGACGCGGCACACAGCUCAGUAACACGUGGCUAACCUGCCCUUGGGACAGGGACAACCCCGGGAAACUGGGGCUAAUCCCUGAUAGGUGAGGGUUCCUGGAAUGGGCCCUUGCUGAAAGGGCGUCUAGACCAUGCUUCUAGGUGCUGCCCAAGGAUGGAGCCGCGGCCGAUCAGGUUGUUGGUGAGGUAACGGCUCACCAAGCCUUUAACCGGUACGGGCCGUGAGAGCGGGAGCCCGGAGAUGGGUACUGAGACAAGGACCCAGGCCCUACGGGGCGCAGCAGUCGCGAAAACUCCGCAAUACGCGAAAGCGUGACGGGGCUAUCCCGAGUGCCGUCCGCUGAGGAUGGCUUUUCCCCAGUGUAUAAAGCUGCGGGAAUAAGGAGAGGGCAAGCCUGGUGUCAGCCGCCGCGGUAAUACCAGCUCUCCGAGUGGUGGGGAUGCUUAUUGGGCCUAAAGCAUUCGUAGCCGGUUGGGCAAGUCCUCCGUUAAAUCCAUCGAUUCAAUCGUUGGACUGCAUGUGAUACUGUCCGGCUAGGGGGCGGA
rnacentral:rRNA from 1 species